UACGGUAGGGUGCGAGCGUUUGUCCGGAAUUAUUGGGCGUAAAGAGCUCGUAGGCGGUGUGUCGCGUCGGUCGUGAAAACUUGGGGCUUAACUCUGAGCUUGCGGUCGAUACGGGCAUCACUGGAGUUCGGCAGGGGAGACUGGAAUUCCUGGUGUAGCGGUGAAAUGCGCAGAUAUCAGGAGGAACACCGGUGGGCGAAGGCG
rnacentral:rRNA from 1 species